UACGUAGGGGGCGAGCGUUGUCCGGAAUUAUUGGGCGUAAAGAGCUCGUAGGCGGUUCUGUAUGUCUAUCGUGAAAGCGUACGGCUCAACCGUAUUUUGUCGGUAGAAACUGCAGGACUUGAGGCUGGGAGGGGCUGGUGGAAUUCCCUGUGUAACGGUGAAAUGCGUAGAGAUGGGGGAGAACACUCGUGGCGAAGGCGGCCAGCUAGACCAGUUCUGACACUGAGGCGCGACAGCGUGGGGAGCAAACAGG
rnacentral:rRNA from 1 species